rnacentral:tRNA from 1 species
GGGACAUUAGCUCAGUAGGUUAGAGCAGCAUCCUUAUAAGUUGUGUGUGCCUGGUUCGAGUCCAGGAUGUCCUACCA